UAUUGACUGCCUGCAUUGCCUCCAUCCUUUGGGAAUUGUACUCAAGGGGAGAGAAAGGGGAGGAUUGGAAUGUUGUCACUCCGUUUCGCACAGAAGUAGAACGUGAAAAGGAUUUACCUGCUGGAGAAGGUCUUACCGUCUCUGGUACCAUGUGUCGGGCAGCUCCUUAGAGAGGCAGAGCGGAGGGGAGAGACUGAGGGAGAGGGAGAAGAAGGGGAAAGGAGGAGGCGUGAGGUUGAAGUGGGUUCAUCUCCCUUCAGUCCCCUGUUUUAUCUGGGCCAUUGCUUGAUAAGGUCCUCCUCUGCCCCCUCUCUUCAUCCCCCUCUCAAUUCCAUCCCCCUCCUUUCUGACCGGGAAGAGGCAGAGGCAGCCCAGUACCGCCUGGGGCUGGAGCUCACUCUGCAACUGCUACAUGCACCAUGCAGCCGCUUGUCUGAGCUGAAGAGGCAGGUGGGGCAGUGCAGGGUGGAGCUGCAGAGGGGAGAGGAGAUCCAGAGGCGUACCGUGGAGAGACGGAGGGAGUGUCUGGCACUACACUUCACUGACUGGAGGCUCCAAGCCGACCACACCCUCUCUCUG